rnacentral:rRNA from 1 species
UCGAGAAUCUUCGGCAAUGGGCGAAAGCCUGACCGAGCGACGCCGCGUGAGGGAAGAAGGCCUUCGGGUUGUAAACCUCUUUCGUAGAGGAGGAAGGGGCCGUGCAGAGCGGUCUUUGACCUAUUCUAGGAAGAAGCUUGGGCUAAGUUCGUGCCAGCAGCCGCGGUAAGACGAACCAAGCGAACGUUAUUCGGAAUUACUGGGCUUAAAGCGCGUGUAGGCGGAUGACCACGUCAGUCGUUGAAAUCCCCCGGCUCAACCGGGGAACAGGCGCUGAUACGAGUUGUCUGGAGGUGGGUAGGGGAGACUGGAACUUCCGGUGGAGCGGUGAAAUGCGUUGAGAUCGGAAGGAACGCCCGCGGCGAAAGCGAGUCUCUGGACCCAUUCUGACGCUGAGACG